CAGUAGCCACGGUAAUACGUAGGUGGCAAGCGUUGUCCGGAAUUAUUGGGCGUAAAGCGUCUGUAGGUGGCUUUUCAAGUCCGCCGCCAAAUCCCCGGGCUCAACCCUGGACAGGCAGUGGAAACUACCAAGCUGGAGUACGGUAGGGGCAGAGGGAGCUUCCGGUGGAGCGGUGAAAUGCGUUGAGAUCGGAAGGAACGCCCGUGGCGAAAGCGAGGCCCUGGACCCUUUCUGACGCUGAGACGCGAAAGCCAGGGGAGCGAACGGGGUUAGAUACCCGAGUAGUCCCUGUCUCUUAUAA
rnacentral:rRNA from 1 species